GACGAACGCUGGCGGCGUGCUUAACACAUGCAAGUCGAACGGAAAGGCCCUGCUUUUGUGGGGUGCUCGAGUGGCGAACGGGUGAGUAACACGUGAGUAACCUGCCCUUGACUUUGGGAUAACUUCAGGAAACUGGGGCUAAUACCGGAUAGGAGCUCCUGCUGCAUGGGGGGGGUUGGAAAGUUUCGGCGGUUGGGGAUGGACUCGCGGCUUAUCAGCUUGUUGGUGGGGUAGUGGCUUACCAAGGCUUUGACGGGUAGCCGGCCUGAGAGGGUGACCGGCCACAUUGGGACUGCGAUACGGCCCAGACUCCUACGGGAGGCAGCAGUGGGGAAUAUUGCACAAUGGGCCGAAGCCUGAUGCAGCAACGCCGCGUGCGGGAUGACGGCCUUCGGGUUGUAAACCGCUUUCGCCUGUGACGAAGCGUGAGUGACGGUAAUGGGUAAAGAAGCACCGGCUAACUACGUG
rnacentral:rRNA from 1 species